rnacentral:rRNA from 1 species
AUUGAACGCUGGCGGCAUGCUUUACACAUGCAAGUCGAACGGCAGCGCGGGCUUCGGCCUGGCGGCGAGUGGCGAACGGGUGAGUAAUACAUCGGAACGUGCCCAGUAGUGGGGGAUAGCUCGGCGAAAGCCGGAUUAAUACCGCAUACGACCUGAGGGUGAAAGCGGGGGAUCUUCGGACCUCGCGCUAUUGGAGCGGCCGAUGGCAGAUUAGCUAGUUGGUGGGGUAAAGGCCUACCAAGGCGACGAUCUGUAGCUGGUCUGAGAGGACGACCAGCCCCCCUGGGACUGAGACACGGCCCAGACUCCUACGGGAGGCAGCAGUGGGGAAUUUUGGACAAUGGGCGAAAGCCUGAUCCAGCAAUGCCGCGUGUGUGAUGAAGGCCUUCGGGUUGUAAAGCACUUUUGGCGGGAACGAAAAGGACUGUGCCAAUACCACGGUUCGAUGACGGUACCCGCAGAAUAAGCACCGGCUAACUACGUG